GGUUCCAUAACUCAGUUGGUUAGAGUGUGGUGCUAAUACAGAUCGAGCAAACAUCUGGAAACGCCAAAGUCGAGGGUUCGACCCCCUCUGGGACCA